CAUGCAAGUCGAGCGGCAGCGGGAAAGUAGCUUGCUACUUUUGCCGGCGAGCGGCGGACGGGUGAGUAAUGCCUGGGAAAUUGCCCAGUCGAGGGGGAUAACAGUUGGAAACGACUGCUAAUACCGCAUACGCCCUACGGGGGAAAGCAGGGGACCUUCGGGCCUUGCGCGAUUGGAUAUGCCCAGGUGGGAUUAGCUAGUUGGUGAGGUAAUGGCUCACCAAGGCGACGAUCCCUAGCUGGUCUGAGAGGAUGAUCAGCCACACUGGAACUGAGACACGGUCCAGACUCCUACGGGAGGCAGCAGUGGGGAAUAUUGCACAAUGGGGGAAACCCUGAUGCAGCCAUGCCGCGUGUGUGAAGAAGGCCUUCGGGUUGUAAAGCACUUUCAGCGAGGAGGAAAGGUCAGUAGCUAAUAUCUGCUGACUGUGACGUUACUCGCAGAAGAAGCACCGGCUAACUCCGUGCCAGCAGCCGCGGUAAUACGGAGGGUGCAAGCGUUAAUCGGAAUUACUGGGCGUAAAGCGCACGCAGGCGGUUGGAUAAGUUAGAUGUGAAAGCCCCGGGCUCAACCUGGGAAUUGCAUUUAAAACUGUCCAGCUAGAGUAUUGUAGAGGGGGUAGAAUUCCAGGUGUAACCGGGUGAAAAUGCGUUAAAAAAAUCUUGGAAGGAAUACCCGGUGGGCGAAAGGCGGGCCCCCUGGGACAAAAAACUUGACCCUCAAGGUGCCGAAAACCUGGGGGGAGCCAAACAGGAAUAGAAUACCCCUGGUAAUCCCCCCCCCUAAACCAUGUCCAUUUUUGAAGCUGUGUUCCUUAAAACGUGGGUUUCCGGAGCUUAACCCGUUUAAAUCCACCCCCCUGGGGGAAUACCGCCCCCAGGGUUAAAAUCCAAUGAAUUUUCGGGGGCCCCCCCAAAACGGGGACAUUGGGUUAUUUUAUCACCCGAAAAACCUUCCCGGGCUUUAAAUUUUGGAACCUCCAAAAACCGGAGGCCUUGGAAAAAAAAAAAGGGUUCUGGUUUCUACUCUUUGUGGAAUGGUAAACCCAAAAGCACCCUUUUUUUCCCUAUGGGAAUCGGGAUCCGGUAACCAGAGGGGGAUAAUUUUGCUCCCGGCCCUUUAUGCUCAGGUCGUCAUUGAACAAACCACCGUGGUCCCCCCACACCUACCAAAAUGGAUCGUUCCCCCCGGGGCAAAUAUCGGUCCUUGCCCGGUUGGGUAAANUNNUNNNNUCNCUAUAUCAUUUGCCUCCCCUCGGGUAAUUUCUUUUUUCCCCUCUCCC
rnacentral:rRNA from 1 species